UGGGGAAUAUUGGACAAUGGGCGCAAGCCUGAUCCAGCCACGCCGCGUGAGUGAUGAAGGCCUUAGGGUUGUAAAGCUCUUUCGCCGGUGAAGAUAAUGACGGUAACCGGAGAAGAAGCCCCGGCUAACUUCGUGCCAGCAGCCGCGGUAAUACGAAGGGGGCUAGCGUUGCUCGGAAUCACUGGGCGUAAAGCGCACGUAGGCGGAUCGUUAAGUCAGGGGUGAAAUCCUGGAGCUCAACUCCAGAACUGCCCUUGAUACUGGCGAUCUCGAGUUCGAGAGAGGUUGGUGGAACUCCGAGUGUAGAGGUGAAAUUCGUAGAUAUUCGGAAGAACACCAGUGGCGAAGGCGGCCAACUGGCUCGAUACUGACGCUGAGGUGCGAAAGCGUGGGGAGCAAAACAGGAUUAGAUACCCUGGUAGUCCACGCCGUAAAACGAUGGAUGCUAGCCGUUGGGGGGUUUACCUCUCAGUGGCGCAGCUAACGCCUUAAGCAUCCCGCCUGGGGAGUACGGUCGCAAGAUUAAAAACUUAAAUG
rnacentral:rRNA from 1 species